AUUGAACGCUGGCGGAAUGCUUUACACAUGCAAGUCGAACGGUAGAGGGGGCAACCCCUCGAGAGUGGCGAACGGGUGAGUAAUAUAUCGGAACGUGCCCAGUCGUGGGGGAUAACGUAGCGAAAGUUACGCUAAUAACGCAUACGAUCUAAGGAUGAAAGCGGGGGAUCGCAAGACACCGAGCGAUUGGAGCGGCCGAGAUCAGAUUAGGUAGUUGGUGGGGUAAAGGCUCACCAAGCCAACGAUCUGUAGCUGGUCUGAGAGGACGACCAGCCACACUGGAACUGAGACACGGUCCAGACUCCUACGGGAGGCAGCAGUGGGGAAUUUUGGACAAUGGACGCAAGUCUGAUCCAGCCAUUCCGCGUGCAGGAUGAAGGCCCUCGGGUUGUAAACUGCUUUUGUACGGAACGAAAAGGUCUCUCUUAAUACGGGGGACUCAUGACGGUACCGUAAGAAUAAGCACCGGCUAACUACGUGCCAGCCGCCGCAGUGAAAC
rnacentral:rRNA from 1 species